rnacentral:rRNA from 1 species
UAUCUCUGUAGAGUCUGCAUAUCAAUAAGCGGAGGAAAAGAAACUAACUAGGAUUCCCUCAGUAACGGCGAGUGAAGCGGGAAGAGCUCAAAUUUGAAAUCUUCAAGGUUCUACCUUGACGAAUUGUAGUUUAAAGAAGUGUUUUCUGUUGGAGUUUUGGUAAAAGUUCUUUGGAAUAGGACAUCAUAGAGGGUGAGAAUCCCGUAUUUGACCAUUAUUUCCAGCUUUGUGAUACACUUUCAAAGAGUCGGAUUGUUUGGGAAUGCAGUCCAAAAUGGGUGGUAAAUUUCAUCUAAAGCUAAAUAUUGGCGAGAGACCGAUAGCGAACAAGUACCGUGAGGGAAAGAUGAAAAGAACUUUGAAAAGAGAGUUAAACAGUACGUGAAAUUGUCAAAAGGGAAGCGUUUGACACCAGUGUUGUUUUCUCGAAAAUCAAUUAAAAAAAGUUGGAUUUUGUAUUGUUAAGACCUUAUCAGCUUACUGUACUCUUUUCUUGCUUUUUUUAAUGCACUUUUCGUUUAACAAGUCAACAUCAAUUUCUUUUGUUGUAAAAGAGUCAUUGGAAGGUGGCUUUCACUUCGGUGAAAGUGUUUAUAGCCUUUGGCUUCUGCAAUCGGAGAGAUUGAGGUCUGCAGCGUAGAUCCUUCGGGGCUAGAUACGUAGAUGCUAAGUUAUAGUUUUUUAUAGACAACUUGUUGACUAUAAUUAAUCAUGUAGCUUACUCGUUUGCGCUAUUUUACCUACGCUUAGGAUGUUGAAGUCAUCGUAUCGCGC